CAUGUAGCGUUGAUAGGGAAAGUAGAUUGCCGAAAAACUUAUGAUUAGCGAAUCAGGGAUGGUGGGAGCCUGAUAUAAGUUGGAAAUUGAAAAUCACCCUGGAGUCUUUUUCUGAAAAAGUUAAGUAAGAAAAAGCGGUUCAUUGCCGUUAAAAAAUGUCUAAGUGGAUAAAAGAAACUUUUAUCUAUAAGGGUGGUACCGCGGGAACCUAAUGAUCGACCUUCUCGUCCCUUUC
rnacentral:ncRNA from 1 species